AACGAACGCUGGCGGCAUGCCUAACACAUGCAAGUCGAACGAGACCUUCGGGUCUAGUGGCGCACGUGUGCGUAACGCGUGGGAACCUGCCCUUAGGUUCGGAAUAACUCCCCGAAAGGUGUGCUAAUACCGGAUAAUGUCUUCGGACCAAAGAUUUAUCGCCUUUGGAUGGGCCCGCGUUGGAUUAGCUAGUUGGUAGGGUAAAAGCCUACCAAGGCGACGAUCCAUAGCUGGUCUGAGAGGAUGACAAGCCACACUGGGACUGCGACACGGCCCAGAAUCCUACGGGAGGCAGCAGUGGGGAAUAUUAGAGAAUGAGCGAAAGUCUGAUAAAGCAAUGCCGCGUGUGAGAUGAAGGCCUUAGGGUUGUAAAGCUCUUUUACACGGGAUGAUAAUGACAGUAACGGGAAAAUAAGCUCCGGCUAACUACGUG
rnacentral:rRNA from 1 species